CAAAGAUUCCUCCUCUGUGGAGUUUCCCCUGGGAACCUUGAUCCUUGGAGAUGGGUGAGCAAUCUUUUUCUCUUCCAUUGUAACACUUUUUCAUCACGUUGAUCUUUCCAAUUGUUACAGAUGUCCUUCAUGGAAGUAGGUUUCCUCUUGAGAUAAUCUAUCUUGCUGCCAAGAGGAGGGUUAACGUGGUGUCAGUAUAGCAACAGCACCAGUUAGGGGCGUCUGGAAACAUUUCAGUACGUACUCCAAGAAAUAUCAGUGAAUGCAACUGUGAAGUGAUGAUGAUGAAAGCAGCUAUAUCAGUCCCUGCAUGGCUCAGGCAGUGUGGCUCCGGACCACAGCCUCUAUGUCUUGGGAUGGGAACACGUGUGUGACAUAGGAAGGAAGCAUGCUGUGUCAAGACAGCUAAGAAAGAAGGCAUCAUUUCAGAUCUGGUCUAAAUCACCAUUCCCAGAAUAAAAAAAAAAAAAAAAAUGAAAUUACACAAAGUUGCUCAGGGACAAACCUUUGGAGCUCCACCCUACAGCACCUUGUUAUUCCUGGAGCACUGCAUAGAUCCUGAACGUGGCUGUACAGGCAUCCCUCCGCUUGCCAGCAUUUUCCAUAUGAGGGCCUUGCUAUGACUAAACACAGUUUUAUAAGUCCCAUGGCAUCCAGCUAUAAAUAAGAAGAUCAAAGCCUUGACCCUUGGAAACUAACUGUGACCUCAUCAUUGAGCAACCGUGCCCCAAAGACUGUAUUAAGCUGGAAGGGAACAUAAAUCUAGGAGGAACUAAUGAAGACCCCCAGGGCCACCCUUCUCUAUAGCUGUCUUGUUAACAUGAUCUAGGAAAGACAGGGGGCCCUUAAAUAAAACAAAAAAAAAACCAGAGGUAAUAAGUGAC
rnacentral:lncRNA from 1 species